AGUGAACGCUGGCGGUAGGCCUAACACAUGCAAGUCGAACGGCAGCACAGGAGAGCUUGCUCUCUGGGUGGCGAGUGGCGGACGGGUGAGGAAUACAUCGGAAUCUACUCUGUCGUGGGGGGUAACGUAGGGAAACUUACGCUAAUACCGCAUACGACCUACGGGUGAAAGCAGGGGAUCUUCGGACCUUGCGCGAUUGAAUGAGCCGAUGUCGGAUUAGCUAGUUGGCGGGGUAAAGGCCCACCAAGGCGACGAUCCGUAGCUGGUCUGAGAGGAUGAUCAGCCACACUGGAACUGAGACACGGUCCAGACUCCUACGGGAGGCAGCAGUGGGGAAUAUUGGACAAUGGGCGCAAGCCUGAUCCAGCCAUACCGCGUGGGUGAAGAAGGCCGUCGGGUUGUAAAGCCCUUUUGUUGGGAAAGAAAUCCAGCUGGCUAAUACCCGGUUGGGAUGACGGUACCCAAAGAAUAAGCACCGGCUAACUUCGUGCCAGCCGCCGCCGUAA
rnacentral:rRNA from 1 species